CAGUCGCCGCGGUAAUACGUAGGGUGCAAGCGUUAAUCGGAAUUACUGGGCGUAAAGCGUGCGAAGGCGGUUAUAUAAGUCAGAUGUGAAAUCCCCGGGCUCAACCUGGGAACUGCAUUUGAAACUGGCAGGCUAGAGUCUCGUAGAGGGGGGUAGAAUUCCAGGUGUAGCGGUGAAAUGCGUAGAGAUCUGGAGGAAUACCGGUGGCGAAGGCGGCCCCCUGGACGAAGACUGACGCUCAGGUACGAAAGCGUGGGGAGCAAACAGGAUUAGAUACCCCGGUAGUCCCUGUCUCUUAUAC
rnacentral:rRNA from 1 species